rnacentral:rRNA from 1 species
ACAUGCAAGUCGAACGAUGAAGCCCGCCUUGUGUGCGUGGAUUAGUGGCGAACGGGUGAGUAACACGUGAGUAACCUGCCCUUGACUCUGGGAUAAGCCUGGGAAACUGGGUCUAAUACCGGAUAUGACCUUCCAUCGCAUGGUGGUUGGUGGAAAGCUUUUGUGGUUUUGGAUGGACUCGCGGCCUAUCAGCUUGUUGGUGGGGUAAUGGCCUACCAAGGCGACGACGGGUAGCCGGCCUGAGAGGGUGACCGGCCACACUGGGACUGAGACACGGCCCAGACUCCUACGGGAGGCAGCAGUGGGGAAUAUUGCACAAUGGGCGCAAGCCUGAUGCAGCGACGCCGCGUGAGGGAUGACGGCCUUCGGGUUGUAAACCUCUUUCAGUAGGGAAGAAGCGUAAGUGACGGUACCUGCGGAAAAAACGCCGGCUAACUACGUGCCAGCAGCCGCGGUAAUACGUAGGGCGCACGCGUUAUCCGGAAUUAUUGGGCGUAAAGAGCUCGUAGGCGGUUUGUCGCGUCUGCCGUGAAAGUCCGGGGCUCAACUCCGGAUCUGCGGUGGGUACGGGCAGACUAUAGUGAUGUAUGGGAGACUGGAAUUCCUGGUGUAGCGGUGAAAUGCGCACAUAUCAGGAGGAACACCGAUGGCGAAGGCGGGUCUCUGGGCAUUAACUGACGCUGAGGAGCGAAAGCAUGUGGAGCGAACAGGAUUAGAUACCCUGGUAGUCCAUGCCGUA